AGACAUACAGGUCGAGCAAGGAUGAAAAUCGGACUUAGUGAUCCGGUGGUUCUGCGUGGAAGGGCCAUCGCUCAACGGAUAAAAGCUACCCUGGGGAUAACAGGCUUAUCUCCCCCAAGAGUCCACAUCGACGGGGAGGUUUGGCACCUCGAUGUCGGCUCAUCACAUCCUGGGGCUGUAGUAGGUCCCAAGGGUUGGGCUGUUCGCCCAUUAAAGUGGUACGCGAGCUGGGUUCAGAACGUCGUGAGACAGUUCGGUCCCUAUCCGUCGCAGGCGUAGGAAAUUUGAGAAGACCUGUCCUUAGUACGAGAGGACCGGGAUGGACGUACCUCUGGUGUACCAGUUGUCCUGCCAAGGGCAUGGCUGGGUAGCUAUGUACGGAAUGGAUAAGCGCUGAAAGCAUCUAAGCGCGAAGCCAACUUCAAGAUAAGAUUUCCCACCGCAAGGGUAAGACCCCAGAAAGACUAUCUGGUUGAUAGGUCGAAGGUGUAAGUGCAGUAAUGUAUUUAGCUUAUCGAUACUAAUAGGUCGAGGACUUGACCAAU
rnacentral:rRNA from 1 species